AACGAACGCUGGCGGCAGGCUUAACACAUGCAAGUUGAACGAUGUAGCAAUACAUAGUGGCGCACGGGUGAGUAACGCGUGGGAACGUGCCCUUCAGUACGGGAUAACACCGGGAAACUGGUGCUAAUACCGUAUAUUCCCUCCGGGGAAAGAUUUAUCGCUGAAGGAUCGGCCCGCGUAAGAUUAGGUAGUUGGUGGGGUAAUGGCCUACCAAGCCUACGAUCUUUAGCUGGUCUGAGAGGAUGAUCAACCACACUGGAACUGAGACACGGUCCAGACUCCUACGGGAGGCAGCAGUGGGGAAUAUUGGACAAUGGGCGAAAGCCUGAUCCAGCAAUGCCGCGUGAGUGAUGAAGGCCUUAGGGUUGUAAAGCUCUUUUACCCGAGAUGAUAAUGACAGUAUCGGGAGAAUAAGCUCCGGCUAACUCCGUGCCAGCAGCCGCGGUAAU
rnacentral:rRNA from 1 species